UCCACGGCGUAUAUUGAUUCAAAGCCUACUAUGUGCCAGUUACUAAUUAUUAUGAUAUCCCUGAAUGAACAUGACACUAUUUAAUUCUUAUGACAGAAUGGAGGAGGUACAGUUAGGUACCUACUUUCGUGUCUAACACUCAGAGGAGGAGAUAAUACAAAUGGCACAGCCAAUGUCCCAGAGCCAGACCUGGCAAACAGCUGCCCUACCUGUAAAUGCCUUUCUUACUCCUUUAGUAAAAGUCUGCAGAUAUAAAAGGAGGCAUUGGGUUACUGAAACACAGAGCACAGAGCUCGAUGUGAGCCAUGAGGAAGAGAACACCUGUAAGAGGCACUAAAACAAAGACGGAUAUUGAUGCAAAAACAGCUUUCAGCUAAAAGACAGAAGGGAGGUGUAGUUUCUUCUGGAGUCAGAUGUGAGUGGUCACAACCUGAAAAUUCAGGUUUCAGAUCCCCUCACAAACAGUGUUUCAAGGCAGUCAAAGGUUCAUGAAAUUUAUAUAAUUAUAAGGCAAAAGACGGUCAUAAAUCCAGACACUUCAAAUAUGUUGGCAGGAACGCCAGGCCUGCCAUUACAACAAAGCAGAAAAAUCUUGGCUGUAGGUUUCAGAUGUGAUCUGAUGGCAUCCUUAGCUUCUAAGUUUAUGUGUGCUAGAACGUUCUAAAAGGUGUUCCUGGAGAUGGAUAAUGAAUGACUAUGAUAGCACAGGGUCUAAAGAUAGCACAGGAUAAGUGAUUGCAUCUGCAAUGUUCCAACACAUCAUAAUCACCAAGUUCUAAUCAAUCAGCUGGCCUUGCAGAAUCUUGAACACAGGUGUUGUUUUUUCCUCUGAGAACUUCUUGUCAUACAGGGAUACAAAAAGAACUGCCGGGCUGUUUCUAACAGGGGUUUAUCAUGGCUGUCAUUUGAGAGGUUCCACCCAAGCAGCCAAUGAAAAGAGAUACAGAGACUCACAGUCAAACAUUAGAUGGAGCUUGGGGAGUCUUGUAGAAGACUUGGGGAAGGAUUAAGGGACCCGAAGGAGACUGGAACUCCACAGAAAGACCAACAGAGUCGAUUAACCUGGGGCCUUCUCCUUGGGGCCUUCCAGAGAUUGAACCACCAACCAAAGACCCAAACAUUGGAAACUGAGCCCAUUAAAUCAGAACAAAACCACUUUUGAAAACAGCUUUGGAAAAAUACAAUUUUGGCACAAAGGGAUAAGAAUCAAGAAGGAUGAAAAAUCAGAAUAAAAUUCAGCUCUAGAGGAACAAGUUCUCAGGACCUUGAAACUUUGUUGAAUCAUUCAUGGUUCACCAAGCACGUUCCAGUUCAUAAAGUACAUGAACUCAAAGCACACAGGGACCUGUCACGCUUCACAAAGUCUUCUAUUGUCAGUACCUAGAACAUCAAUGGCCCUGGGUUAAGAAGAUUUUCUCAGUGGUAAUUGUAAUUGAUGAUGGUGGUGAGGCAUCUUAUAAGGAAUGGGAAUAAAGUAUUUUGUGGAACACAAUCUCAUCACUUUGUACUUGUUACUGGCAUGGGUUUCUUACACAAACAUGCCAUUAUGUUUUGCUGGCACAUUUGCUACCACCAUUUUAUAGUGGAAAAAUGUGAAAUUAAAUAACUUUCUUUGAGAAACUGCAGAAAUUGGUAGAAAUGAUAUCUGAGCUCAAUUGGACUUAGAGGAUUAUGUC
rnacentral:sRNA from 1 species